UACGUAGGUGUCAAGCGUUGUCCGGAUUUAUUGGGCGUAAAGCGCUCGCAGGCGGCUCGAUGCGUCGUGCGUGAAACACCCCGGCUCAACUGGGGAGGGUCGUGCGAUACGGUCGGGCUGGAGGCCAGUAGGGGGAUGCGGAAUUCCGGGUGUAGUGGUGGAAUGCGUAGAGAUCCGGAGGAACACCAGCGGCGAAGGCGGCAUCCUGGACUGGUCCUGACGCUCAGGAGCGAAAGCGUGGGGAGCGAUCCGG
rnacentral:rRNA from 1 species